UACGGAGGGGGCUAGCGUUGUUCGGAAUUACUGGGCGUAAAGGGUUCGUAGGUGGCUUGUUAAGUCAGACGUGAAAUCCCUCGGCUCAACCGGGGAACUGCGUCUGAGACUGAUGAGCUCGAGUGCAGGAGAGGAACGCGGAAUUCCAGGUGUAGCGGUGAAAUGCGUAGAUAUCUGGAGGAACACCGGUGGCGAAGGCGGCGUUCUGGACUGCAACUGACACUGAGGAACGAAAGCCAGGGGAGCAAACGGG
rnacentral:rRNA from 1 species